UGGGGAAUAUUGCACAAUGGGCGCAAGCCUGAUGCAGCCAUGCCGCGUGUGUGAAGAAGGCCUUCGGGUUGUAAAGCACUUUCAGCGGGGAGGAAGGCGGUGAGGUUAAUAACCUCACCGAUUGACGUUACCCGCAGAAGAAGCACCGGCUAACUCCGUGCCAGCAGCCGCGGUAAUACGGAGGGUGCAAGCGUUAAUCGGAAUUACUGGGCGUAAAGCGCACGCAGGCGGUCUGUCAAGUCGGAUGUGAAAUCCCCGGGCUCAACCUGGGAACUGCAUUCGAAACUGGCAGGCUAGAGUCUUGUAGAGGGGGGUAGAAUUCCAUGUGUAGCGGUGAAAUGCGUAGAGAUGUGGAGGAAUACCGGUGGCGAAGGCGGCCCCCUGGACAAAGACUGACGCUCAGGUGCGAAAGCGUGGGGAGCAAACAGG
rnacentral:rRNA from 1 species